CCGGAGGUUGUCUGGCUUCGGGGCCCUCCGCGGCCCGGGGGCCUCGGAGCCCCCUUCGGGCCUAGGCACAGCCCAGGCGGGGCCCUGAGCGCCAAUCCUGCCCGGCACCUGCCCGGUGCCCAAACCCACCGGAGCCACCUGCGCCGUCGAUCCGAGCGCCUCAACCCCGCCCCUUCGCCCUACCGAGGGCCCCCUUGCCCCCACACCGCCGGCCAGGCACACGACCUUCCUGAGAGAGCAGACAAGCCACAGGCAGGACAGACACGGACAGACGCCCAGACACUCGCACGCACCCACGCAAAGGGAGACAGCCGGCCGGCGCAAGCUCCUCAGCCAGAGCCAUAACACCUGUGAGAGGCGGGGCCAGAGGAACGGACGGGCGGCAGGGUGUCAGGAGAGACAGAGGCAGAAAGAGACGAAGGUUCAGAGACAGACUCGAAGACGACGGGAGGGAGAUACGGACAGACAGACAGACAGACAGACGCGCGCGCGGGCGCGCGCACGCGCGAAAGCACACAGGCACAGGGAGGCAGAGACAGAGAGAGGGAGACACAGAGCGACUGACAGAGGCGGCAAAGAGAGACAGGGGAGAGAAGAUGGCAUCCGACCUGAGACAGACAUACUGGCACAGACCGUGACGCACCACAGAGGGAGGCCCUGCGGAAGAAGCAGCUUCCCCAAGGGAGGGGGCGUCAGCCUUGGGCUGGGCCCUGGCUGGACGCGGUGCCCUAGGGCUGGCGUUCGCCCGUGGAGACCCCAAGACUUCCUCGCAGCCGUGGUCUCAAAGGUCCCCUUUGGCUUGGCUACCUAAGGCGAGACCCCGCCCCAAGGCCAGAGGAUCUCCAUUAUGAAUCACUAAGGCAUCAAGGAAGAAAGGAGUAGAGGUGGAGAAAAAAAGAGCAACCUUUCCCCUUGGCUCUAUCUCAACCAGUUGCUUAGUUCCUUCAUCUCAUUGACUACAGUCUGGGAUUAACUUGUUUGUCUGAUUCUUGUUUGGGGACCGUUUCUAGUCACAGGGCUAUAAACAGUGGUGGGGAAGCCCUUCUUUCCAUUCCACAUCAGACCCAGUGGACAGUCCAGGCCCUGCCCCCUGCAUUGAGUCUGUAGCAACAGAAUCACCAGUGAUGCUGCUGAAAAAUGCAUAUUCCUGGAAUGCAC
ensembl:lncRNA